rnacentral:rRNA from 1 species
GAUGAACGCUGACAGAAUGCUUAACACAUGCAAGUCAUUGGCGAGGCUGCGCUUGCGCAGUCUAGCCAAGGCGGACGGGUGAGUAACGCGUAAGGAACUUGCCCUGCAGACAGGGAUAACAGACGGAAACGACUGAUAACACCUGGUAUUGUCAGGCUGGCGCAUGCCGGCCUGAUGAAAGGAGACGCUGCAGGAGAGCCUUGCGUCCUAUUAGCUAGUUGGUGGGGUAACGGCCCACCAAGGCGAUGAUAGGUAGCCGGCCUGAGAGGGUGAACGGCCACAAGGGGACUGAGAUACGGCCCUUACUCCUACGGGAGGCAGCAGUGGGGAAUAUUGGACAAUGGGGGCAACCCUGAUCCAGCAAUUCUGUGUGCACGAAGAAGGUUUUCGGAUUGUAAAGUGCUUUCAGCAGGGAAGAAGAAAGUGACGGUACCUGCAGAAGAAGCGACGGCUAAAUACGUG